rnacentral:rRNA from 1 species
CAGCAGCCGCGGGAAUACAGAGGGUGCGAGCGUUAAUCGGAUUUACUGGGAGUAAAGCGUGCGUAGGCGGCUUCUUAAGUCGGAUGUGAAAUCCCUGAGCUUAACUUAGGAAUUGCAUUCGAUACUGGGAAGCUAGAGUAUGGGAGAGGACGGUAGAAUUCCAGGUGUAGCGGUGAAAUGCGUAGAGAUCUGGAGGAAUACCGAUGGCGAAGGCAGCCAUCUGGCCUAAUACUGACGCUGAGGUACGAAAGCAUGGGGAGCAAACAGGAUUAGAUACCCCAGUAGUCCCUGUCUCUUAUAA